UGCAGCUACGGAGGAACACAAGAGGCAGAAAUAUGCAUGGCCAUGGCUUCUUCAUGAGUACGACCAGGACUGAAGAACGCCUGACAAUGGGAUGUUAAGACUUCUUCCUCUGGUUGAGAAAAAGCUACAGCACAUCAGUGAUCACAUCUUCUGGUCAUCAGUUGUACUGUAGAGUACAACUGAACAAACUGUUUAGAAGAAGAAGAACAUGAACAUGAUAGAGACAUUUACAGGGAAGAGCAAGAACCCAGUUCAGCUGUGAUAAUGAAUCUUUAUUUUAAACUCAAUAUCAAAUCUGUUUUCUGGAUCAUAGUUGACUGGAUGGGAUUCUGUGGCGCUCAUUUGUGCAAUAGGAGUAAAGUCUGUGAAUGGAUUAUUAUGACGUUAACGUAUUUUUGAAGACACGUUUUUAUUUAUCUUGAAUCUCAUUUGUCUUUAUGCAAAUUUCAACCUUAUGCUGUAUCCUCCAAUAAAGUGUUGUGUAAUAAA